AGAUGCCAAGAAGACAACUAAUGUGCCAGGAGGUGAAGGUACUAACAGAAGUUGCCUCAACUUGUUGAAGCUUUAGAUUUUUGUUUCCUCUUUAAAUAGAUGGUAACCUCAGCUUCAUCCUCAAUGGCUCAUGAUAUUGUAGUAUCUCUUCAUCUAAUUUAUACAUUACAAGUAAACUGAAUGUGUCAAGACAAUGCACAAAAGAGGUGCAACAUAACUAAAUAAGGCCCAGCCAUGUUUCCUCUAUAACAUCUAAUAGUUCAGUACAAUAUACUAUUGCCAGUUCUUAAAUAUUAUUACAACCUACAACUCUUAAUACAUGACAAGCCCAUUUCUUUAUAAACUACUAUUGCAUGUUCUUAAAUAUGACAAGCUACAGCUACUACUAUGAGUUGUUAAUAUAUAACACUGCUGAUCAGGAAUCCUAUCUUAUGGUAUUUAUUGCCAAGUUUGUACGCAUCAUCUUAUCCUUUAUAAUCUUUUGCAGACUCACAGAGCUGCCAUGUUAGCUUAUUAACUUGCCACUAGUCUGAACUUUUGACCUACAGAAUGGAAUAUUGUAAUUCUGAUGGUGUCAUGCGGCUCAAUUAAGAAACGAUUCUACGGAGACAUAUUGAUAAUCCACAUCCUGAUCUUGGUCAAAUAUGUUACAAACUUGAAAAUAGCCACAUCCUAAUUCUGCAUCCUUUCACCUUGUAGUAGUUUUGUUUGUUUGUUGUCAUACCUAGCUUAUUUUUGAGAAUGUGUACCACUCAUCUUAAGCAUUUCUGUAGCAUAUAUGCACAAGUAGAUUUUCUGGGAAUGCUCUUGCUAAUAAUUCUGGGACAUGAAAUCAAAAUGAACUCAAGUCUGUUGAUCAAAUGAUGUUGACAAAAAUAGCAGAACAUUGUUUCCUGUUGUGAUUGAUUCCUGUUGAGAAGGAAGCCCGCACCACUACACUUCACCGCAUAGGAACAAAUAUAUUUGUGUGUAUUCAUGGUCAUAUAACAAUGUUACUCUUGCAUGAACAAUCAAGUGUAAGCUAGCAUGUGCUGCUCUAGCCUAACAAUCUUCAUAUGAGCUUUGAACAACUUUUGGAUUGAUUGGACUUUCUGACAAAUUCAUAUGGAAUAUUUUCAGGUACUUAGCCACCUAGCAUUGGAUGUGAGGAGGACUUUGAGUGUCAUGGAACAUACAUGGCUGUUAGUAGUAUUUUGGACCAACCAACUUCAAUCAUUUCUUGAAUCUUAUGUGUGUUCUAGACCAUUUGGUGCUUCAAGUGUUUUGGAGUAGAAACUUUGUGCUCAGGUAUGUGAUUUGUGUGUUUUGGACCAUUGUUUGAAUUAGUUGAGACUAGCAAUUAGUGGCCCUUUUUAGGUGACUUGUGUGUUUUGGAUGGUCAAACUAUGCUUGUGAACCUGUGUGAAUAUAUAUUUAUGUAUGUUUGCGAACCUAUCAUCGUUGUCGUCCAAUAUGUGUUCAUCUUGAUGCUGUUUGUGGAUCACAUUUAGUAUAUGUAUCAAAUCAUUGGUU
rnacentral:lncRNA from 1 species